rnacentral:rRNA from 1 species
GCCGUAAACGAUGGGCACUAGGUGUCGGGGUCGCAAGACUUCGGUGCCGCAGUUAACGCAUUAAGUGCUCCGCCUGGGGAGUACGCACGCAAGUGUGAAACUCAAAGGAAUUGACGGGGACCCGCACAAGCAGCGGAGCAUGUGGUUUAAUUCGAUGCAACGCGAAGAACCUUACCAAGGCUUGACAUGACCGAGAAUGCCCUAGAAACAUGGUCCUCCUUCGGGACGGGCGCACAGGUGGUGCAUGGCUGUCGUCAGCUCGUGUCGUGAGACGUU